GGCAGUGUAGCCAAGUGGUUACGGCGUCACGUUUAGGUCUCUUUCGGUGCAGGUCGAAAAGCAAUACCGUGAUGGGUUUCCCGCGCGAGUUCGAAUCUCGUCACUGUCA